AGAGUUUGAUCCUGGCUCAGGAUGAACGCUGGCGGCGUGCCUAACACAUGCAAGUCGAGCGAAGCAUUUAACAUGAAGUUUUCGGACGGAAUGUUAUCUGACUGAGCGGCGGACGGGUGAGUAACGCGUGGGUAACCUGCCUUAUACAGGGGGAUAACAGUUAGAAAUGACUGCUAAUACCGCAUAAGCGCACAGUACCGCAUGGUAGUGUGUGAAAAACUCCGGUGGUAUAAGAUGGACCCGCGUCUGAUUAGCCAGUUGGCGGGGUAACGGCCCACCAAAGCGACGAUCAGUAGCCGACCUGAGAGGGUGACCGGCCACAUUGGGACUGAGACACGGCCCAAACUCCUACGGGAGGCAGCAGUGGGGAAUAUUGCACAAUGGGGGAAACCCUGAUGCAGCAACGCCGCGUGAGUGAAGAAGUAUUUCGGUACGUAAAGCUCUAUCAGCAGGGAAGAAGAUGACGGUACCUGACCAAGAAGCCCCGGCUAACUCCGUGCCAGCAGCCGCGGUAAUACGGAGGAUGCGAGCGUUAUCCGGAUUCAUUGGGUUUAAAGGGUGCGUAGGCGGGAUGCUAAGUCAGCGGUAAAAUGUCGGCGCUCAACGCCGGCCGGCCGUUGAAACUGGCGUCCUUGAGUGGGCGAGAAGUACGCGGAAUGCGUGGUGUAGCGGUGAAAUGCAUAGAUAUCACGCAGAACUCCGAUUGCGAAGGCAGCGUACCGGCGCCCUACUGACACUGAAGCACGAAAGCGUGGGUAUCGAACAGGAUUAGAUACCCUGGUAGUCCACGCAGUAAACGAUGAAUGCUAAUUGUGUGCCCCGACUGAGGGGUGCGUGAUAAAGCGAAAGCGUUAAGCAUUCCACCUGGGGAGUACGCCGGCAACGGUGAAACUCAAAGGAAUUGACGGGGGCCCGCACAAGCGGAGGAACAUGUGGUUUAAUUCGAUGAUACGCGAGGAACCUUACCCGGGCUCAAACGACGGAUGAAUACUUUUGAAAGGAGGUAGUCCUUCGGGACAUCCGUCGAGGUGCUGCAUGGUUGUCGUCAGCUCGUGCCGUGAGGUGUCGGCUUAAGUGCCAUUACGAGCGCAACCCCCAUCGCCAGUUGCCAACAGGUAAAGCUGGGAACUCUGGCGAGACUGCCGGCGCAAGCUGUGAGGAAGGCGGGGAUGACGUCAAAUCAGCACGGCCCUUACGUCCGGGGCGACACACGUGUUACAAUGGCAGGUACAGAGAGAUGCGACACGGCGACGUGGAGCGGAACUGUCAAAACCUGUCUCAGUUCGGAUCGGAGUCUGCAACCCGACUCCGUGAAGCUGGAUUCGCUAGUAAUCGCGCAUCAGCCAUGGCGCGGUGAAUACGUUCCCGGGCCUUGCACACACCGCCCGUCA
rnacentral:rRNA from 1 species